rnacentral:rRNA from 1 species
AGAUUGAACGCUGGCGGCAGGCCUAACACAUGCAAGUCGAGCGGUAGAGAGGUGCUUGCACCUCUUGAGAGCGGCGGACGGGUGAGUAAUGCCUAGGAAUCUGCCUAGUGGUGGGGGAUAACGUUCGGAAACGGACGCUAAUACCGCAUACGUCCUACGGGAGAAAGCGGGGGACCUUCGGGCCUCGCGCCAUUAGAUGAGCCUAGGUCGGAUUAGCUAGUUGGUGAGGUAAUGGCUCACCAAGGCGACGAUCCGUAACUGGUCUGAGAGGAUGAUCAGUCACACUGGAACUGAGACACGGUCCAGACUCCUACGGGAGGCAGCAGUGGGAAUAUUGGACAAUGGGCGAAAGCCUGAUCCAGCCAUGCCGCGUGUGUGAAGAAGGUCUUCGGAUUGUAAAAGCAACUUUAAGUUGGAGGAAGGUUGUAACUUAAUACGUUGCAACUUUGACGUUACGACAGAAUAAGCACCGGCUAACUUCGUGCAGCAGCCGCGGUAA